CUGGCAGCCCUGGAGAUUGAAAGCCUCUAUUUACCUGCACAACAGAUACAAUAUGAAAAGCAGCAGUGCAAGCUUCCCCACUACCAUGCUUCAAAUUCCUACUGCAGGGACCACCUCUACAGGAGAGAUGGUAAUUUAUUAUCAAUGUCCACUUAGUCCUUGGCCACU
rnacentral:sRNA from 1 species